rnacentral:rRNA from 1 species
AAAGUUAGAGGUUUGAAGGCGAUCAGAUACCGCCCUAAUUCUAACCAUAAACGAUGCCAGCUAGCGAUCCGGCUGUGUUCUUCAAAUGACACGCCGGGCAGCUUCCGGGAAACCAAAGCCUUUGGGUUCCGGGGGGAGUAUGGUUGCAAAGCUGAAACUUAAAGGAAUAGACGGAAGGGCACCACCAGGAAUGGAGCCUGCGGCUUAAUUUGACUCAACACGGGAAAACUUACCCGGCCCGGACACAGGAAGGAUUGACAGAUUAAGAGCUCUUUCUUGAUUCUGUGGGUGGUGGUGCAUGGCCGCUCUUAGUUCGUGGAGCGAUUUGUCUGGUUAAUUCCGAUAACGAACGAGACUCUAGCCUAUUAAAUAGGCGACCCGAUCAUUACUGUCGGGCGAUCUUCUUAGAGGGAUAAACGGCGUUUAGCCGCACGAGACAGAGCAAUAGCAGGUCUGUGAUGCCCUUAGAUGUCCGGGGCCGCACGCGCGCUACAUUGAAGGAAUCAGCGUGUGCUCUCCCUCUGCGACAGCAGUGGGUAACCCGAUGAAACUCUUUCGUGCUGGGGAUAGAAGACUGUAAUUACUUCUUGAACGAGGAAUUCCCAGUAAGCGCGAGUCAUCAGCUCGUGUUGACUACGUCCCUGGCCUUUGUACUCACCGCCCGUCGCUAUUACUGAUAGAACGAUUUAGUGAGGUCUUCGGACUGGCGCUCGGGGCGGCCUUCGGGUCACGCACCGCGGUGCCGGAAAGAUGACCGAACUUGACCGUU